rnacentral:rRNA from 1 species
ACUCCUACGGGAGGCAGCAGUGGGGAAUAUUGGACAAUGGGGCACCCGUAGCAUCCAGCCAUGCCGCGUGUGUGAAGAAGGCCUUCGGGUUGUAAAGCACUUUCAGUAGGGAGGAAGGUAGUGUAGUUAACACCUGCACUAUUUGACGUUACCUACAGAAGAAGCACCGGCUAACUCCGUGCCAGCAGCCGCGGUAAUACGGAGGGUGCGAGCGUUAAUCGGAAUUACUGGGCGUAAAGCGCAUGCAGGCGGCC